ACGGACAUUUCGGUGUUAGUGGCGGACGGGUGAGUAACGCGUAGGGAUCUGUCCAUAAGAGGGGGAUAACUUUGGGAAACUGGAGCUAAUACCGCAUGAUACCUGAGGGUUAAAGGAGUGAUCCGCUUAUGGAGGAACCUGCGUUUGAUUAGCUGGUUGGUGGGGUAAUGGCCUACCAAGGCGAUGAUCGAUAGCUGGUUUGAGAGGAUGAUCAGCCACACUGGGACUGAGACACGGCCCAG
rnacentral:rRNA from 1 species